AGCGAACGCUGGCGGCAGGCCUAACACAUGCAAGUCGAACGAACCUUUCGGGGUUAGUGGCGGACGGGUGAGUAACACGUGGGAACGUGCCUUUAGGUUCGGAAUAACUCAGGGAAACUUGUGCUAAUACCGAAUGUGCCCUUCGGGGGAAAGAUUUAUCGCCUUUAGAGCGGCCCGCGUCUGAUUAGCUAGUUGGUUGAGGUAAUGGCUCACCAAGGCGACGAUCAGUAGCUGGUCUGAGAGGAUGAUCAGCCACAUUGGGACUGAGACACGGCCCAAACUCCGACGGGAGGCAGCAGUGGGGAAUCUUGCGCAAUGGGCGAAAGCCUGACGCAGCCAUGCCGCGUGAAUGAUGAAGGUCUUAGGAUUGUAAAAUUCUUUCACCGGGGACGAUAAUGACGGUACCCGGAGAAGAAGCCCCGGCUAACUUCGG
rnacentral:rRNA from 1 species